CCAUCCCUCCUGGCCCUCCCCCCUCUGUACCGGGUGCGCAGGUGUCGGGAGUGUGGGCUGGAAUGUGGCCGGGGCUUGGGGAGCAGCCCCUUCGGAUGGUCGAGCAGGGGUUGUGGCCUCUCACACUGCAUGUGCAUGUGGGGCACAAUAUCAUCCUCGCCGUGGAGACAACAGAAGUGCAUGAAAGCAUACAAAGAAUGCACAGUGUCAGCCUUCAACUUUUACAGGAGUCAAGAAUUUGACAGGAUCAUUUUGUGUGUUAGUUGAGUCAUUCACAGCAGAUGGAACACAAUUCAAUAACUGCAACAUGUGUGCAAGUGUCUUGUAUUCACGCACAAAAGACUCCGCAGUUAAACAAGACAUUCCGGAGCAUUGAACAUCCCAUCCCGUGGUUACAGUGUUGCAAAAGCCAGGGCACCACUAUCCACAGACUGAACCACACAUUCCUCUUACGUGGGAUAUGCACAGUUUGUUGCUUAACCAUCUGUUUCUCAACAUAUCUCCAUUGCAAAUCUUCCUG